UGGGGAAUAUUGCACAAUGGGCGCAAGCCUGAUGCAGCCAUGCCGCGUGUGUGAAGAAGGCCUUCGGGUUGUAAAGCACUUUCAGCGGGGAGGAAGGCGUUAAGGUUAAUAACCUUGGCGAUUGACGUUACCCGCAGAAGAAGCACCGGCUAACUCCGUGCCAGCAGCCGCGGUAAUACGGAGGGUGCAAGCGUUAAUCGGAAUUACUGGGCGUAAAGCGCACGCAGGCGGUCUGUCAAGUCGGAUGUGAAAUCCCCGGGCUCAACCUGGGAAGUGCAUUCGAAACUGGCAGGCUAGAGUCUUGUAGAGGGGGGUAGAAUUCCAGGUGUAGCGGUGAAAUGCGUAGAGAUCUGGAGGAAUACCGGUGGCGAAGGCGGCCCCCUGGACAAAGACUGACGCACAGGUGCGAAAGCGUGGGGAGCAAACAGG
rnacentral:rRNA from 1 species